rnacentral:rRNA from 1 species
UACAGAGGUCUCAAGCGUUGUUCGGAUUCAUUGGGCGUAAAGGGUGUGUAGGCGGCCUGAUAGGUCGGUUGUGAAAACUGGAGGCUUAACCUUCAGACGUCGACCGAAACCAUCUGGCUAGAGUCCGGAAGAGGAGAGUGGAAUUCCUGGUGUAGCGGUGAAAUGCGCAGAUAUCAGGAAGAACACCCGUGGCUAAGGCGGCUCUCUAGUACGGUACUGACGCUGAGACGCGAAAGCGUGGGGAGCGAACAGG